UACGUAGGGACCAAGCGUUGUCCGGAAUCAUUGGGCGUAAAGAGCGUGUAGGCGGCCUGUUAAGUCUUGCGUGAAAUCUCGGGGCUCAACCCCGAGCGGUCGUGAGAAACUGGCAGGCUAGAGUGCGGGAGAGGAGAGUGGAAUUCCUGGUGUAGCGGUGAAAUGCGCAGAUAUCAGGAAGAACACCCGUGGCGAAGGCGACUUCCUGGCCUGUUCUUGACGCUGAGGCGCGAAAGCUAGGGGAGCAAACGGG
rnacentral:rRNA from 1 species